AGCGAACGCUGGCGGCAGGCCUAACACAUGCAAGUCGAACGAACUCUUCGGAGUUAGUGGCGGACGGGUGAGUAACACGUGGGAACGUGCCUUUUGGUUCGGAAUCACUCAGGGAAACUUGUGCUAAUACCGAAUGUGCCCUUCGGGGGAAAGAUUUAUCGCCAUUAGAGCGGCCCGCGUCUGAUUAGCUAGUUGGUGAGGUAACGGCGCACCAAGGCGACGAUCAGUAGCUGGUCUGAGAGGAUGACCAGCCACACUGGGACUGAGACACGGCCCAGACUCCUACGGGAGGCAGCAGUGGGGAAUCUUGCGAAAUGGGCGAAAGCAUGACGCAGCCAUGCCGGGUGAAUGAUGAAGGUCUUAGGAUUGUAAAAUUCUUUAACCGGGGACGAUAAUGACGGUACCCGGAGAAGAAGCCCCGGCUAACUUCGUG
rnacentral:rRNA from 1 species